AGCAGCCGCGGUAAUUCCAGCUCCAAUAGCGUAUAUUAAAGUUGCUGCAGUUAAAAAGCUCGUAGUUGAAUUUCGGGACCAAUAUGUCGGUCGUGCCUCGGUACGUACUGGCAUCGUUGGUUUCUCCCUUCUGACGAACCAUGAUGUCAUUUAUUUGGUGUCGUGGGAAAUCAGGACUGUUACUUUGAAAAAUUAGAGUGUUUAAAGCAGGCUCACGCUUGAAUACAUUAGCAUGGAAUAAUGAAAUAGGACGUUUGAUUCUAUUUUGUUGGUUUCUAGGAUUGACGUAAUGAUUAAUAGGGAUAGUUGGGGGCAUUAGUAUUCAAUUGUCAGAGGUGAAAUUCUUGGAUUUAUUGAAGACUAACUACUGCGAAAGCAUUUGCCAAGGAUGUUUUCAUUAAUCAAGAACGAAAGUUAGGGGGUCGAAGACGAUCAGAUACCGUCGUAGUCUUAACCAUAAACUAUGCCGACUAGGGAUCGGAUGAUGUUAAUUUUUAAUGUACUCA
rnacentral:rRNA from 1 species